GGGGGAAACGCCUGAUCCCAUCCCGAACUCAGAAGCUAAGCCCCUCAGCGCCGAUGGUACUGUAGCACUCGCUACGGGAGAGUAGGUCGAUGCCAGGA
rnacentral:rRNA from 1 species